CCGACUCCGAUUAAAUUGGAUAAGAUGCAUUGCACCAUCUAUGCCAUGUCAUGCAUAUCAUCAUGAACAUGCUGGAUCUUCUUUAUCCGUAGUUGUAAGACUUGCAUACGUUGUGUGUUCCAGCAUUUGCUUCUUCCCGGAUAGGAUCGCGAAGUGGUGUGGUGAGAUACGACAAGUUCUCCGGAUGUUCCUUGGCAAGCUUUAACAGGCAAGCAUUUUCCCCUAUACUCCUGUCCCUGCAGGAGUCGCUCACCUAUUUUAUUUUGCCUUCUCCCUCAUGCUAUCCUUAAGUUGCGUUCUUGUCACGUGUUCCUUCCACUUGUUACCUCAAGCAGCCUAUAUUGCCUCCACCAACCACCUACAGCUAUUGUUUGGUUAUCAGGUCUGCCUUGCGAGUCGUAGUGCAUGCUAGUGCUGUUUUAUCUCGUUACCGUUGCUGUUAUCUUAUCGGGAUAUGUUGGGUUGUUGGGAGGUUGUCACAUGCUAUAUCAGUUGUUGGAGAUACACAUGCUUUACUUAAUUGUUAACAACUAAAAUUGUAAGCAGAGGCAUCUGUGAGCCCCUUUGCGAAAGCAUCGGAACUUUGACUUGCUAAUGUCCCCUAGAACCCGAGUUCUUGUUAUCUGUUCCGAGACUGAGCGCUCUACCCAUGCGUGGGGAUUCACUGGGACCCCCCUCACCCAUUACCUUUUCUCGAGUUAGUUGAAAAGGGGGCCACAACCUUGGUUUUAUUUGGCGCAUGCAUGUUUAUAUACUGUUGCCUUCGGGUGUUUACUUCCUAUUGCCUUCGGGUGUUUAUAUUCUGUACUGUACCCCGCGGGACGUUUAGCGAUGCGUGUGGUUUGCACGCCUAGCCGCCGACGCAAACCCUGAGUCCGUCUCGGAGUACGGCCGGACUUCGUCACGGGUAGCUUAGUCGGGCGGCCCCCUAGACUUUCUUGUUGAACUGGGAACGGUCUUGUUGUGAGACAUCCACCUGUCAUAAGUGGGUCGAGCAUGCGUAUGGUUACAUUUGGGCAACCCCUGCAGGGUGUACAUCUUAUCGAUAAGCCGUGUCCACGGUUAUGGACGACUUGGAAUUGCAUAGCUUGAUCGUAGAACAACUUACACCGUUAUCUUGUUGCUAAUAAUCUGAUAAUAACUUGCGUAGUAAUAUAGCCUUACUACAACCGUUACCCAAUAAAACUUGUCCAUCGUUGAGUGCCUUUUACAUUGCCUCUUUGCAAUUGUUGGAGGGGAUAUGUGUAAUCGGCUGGGUUAUGUUUGUGUAGUAUUUUAUCUGUUACCUUAUGCGCUCUCUCACCUUCUCUGAUUAGACGAAUGUUGUAGAGUGUCUCUAUAGGUUUUUAGUGCUUGCGCUGCCGCUUAACCCCACCAUAUUGCCUAUGACGUUCCUCUUGCGUCCUCUAAGUCCCCUGCGUGCCUCAAGUACAAAGGACGACUGGUUGACGAAUGCUUAUACGUCUUGAAGUCUUGUUAAGUACGAACCCGUACUUAUUGCUGCUUCUACGGGAUAUAACCGGGCAGGUAUGAAGAUAUGUUUGAUGAAGACGACGUUAGCAAGGUUACCCUUCCGGCUUGGCCUGGGCAGGGUUAUGGACGCCACUGGUUAUCUUCAGGACUCUUAGUCCAAUUUGCAGCUUGUCCGUACUCGGAUGUAUUCGAUCUUCUGUAUGAUUUGGAUCUUUGUAUUGUAUAUUUGUAUCUUGACUCGUUGAAGUCGUUGUUGUAAUAUAUGUAUCUUGUGGGCUCUAUUGUAAUCCUGUUGUAAUGUUA